rnacentral:lncRNA from 1 species
GAAAUAGUCAGUAAUGGUAGUAUGAUAUAUUUAACAGAUUUAUUAAAAGAAAAAGAUUUAAAAUUCUACCUUCUGUCUUAUGACAUUCAAAAAAAAUAACUUCUAGAUAGAUAAAGGACCAAAGUAAAAAAAUCGAGAAGAAUAUUAUGGAUGGAAGAAAUAUAGUAAUCUGGGCUAGCAAGAUGGCUCAAUGGGGUAAAGGUACCUGCUGUCAACCUAAUGACCAGAAUUUAAUCCCUGGAACCCACAUGCUAUGUGCCUCUCCCCCCUUCCCCACCUUACCCCCCAAAAAACCCACACAAACUAAAUGUUGCUAAAGAGUAAAGAGUUGCUAAAAAUACCUGAUAAUUUGCAAUCCAUGAUACAAAAAGAUGAAAGAACUUUAGAAAACAACUUUUAAUUUAAACUAUUCACCAUGGUAAAUGCUGUGCAAGUUACUAUGAGGUUAAAUAUUUGCGAUGAGGUGCUUAUCCUGUGUCCGCCCCAUGUAAUCAUCAAGCUUCUCAAUUUGAAUGUGGCAGGCAGGAAGGUCUCAGACAGACAGAGCAGAAGUCAGAGCGGAGACUUGGUACUGACAGCAAGGCCCCACAAACCAAGACACUGUCUAACCUGUAGGAACUAGAAAAGACAUGACAGCUUUCUCCAGUGCUUGGAGAAAGAAGACAGGCCACUUCUUAGCAGUGAAACUGCAAGAUAAAUUAUGGUUGUUUUUGGAUCAUUUGUUACAAUAACCAUAGGAAUUUUAAAAAAUCAUUUUCUGAAAGUGAUUCUUUUUCCUUUUUCCCCCCCCCCUACCUUCCUUUGGGAGAGAAUGAUCUUUGUUGAACUCAAUAGGAAAUACCUGUCUCUGCUCUUAUACUAUCUGAGAAAUGUUAAGUAGAUACCCUUAAGCACCUGGGUAAAGAACUCCUGUACCAGGGUCUCAGCCUGUGCCAGGUUCAGUAUCAGUGGUUCUUAACCUGUGGGGUGCAACUCCCACAGGGUCACAGAUCAGAUAUUUAUAUUAUCAUUUAUAACAGUAGCAAAAUUACAGUCAUGAAGUCACUAGUAACAAUAAUUUUAUGUUUGGUUUUUAAAAGAUUUAUUUAUUUUAUUUAUAUGAGUACACUCUUGCUGUCUUCAUACACACCAGAAGAGGGCAUAGGAUCCCAUUACAGAUGGUUGUGAGCCACCAUGUGGUUGCUAGGAAUUGAACUCAGGACCUCUGGAAGAACAAUCAGUUCUCUUAACCUCUGAGCCAUCUCUCCAGCUCAGGUUGGGGGUUCUAAGGUUAAGAACCACUGGCUUGACUGUUUCGGUUGUUUGGGAUAGUAGCCUUGUCUGGCCUAGAACUCUAGAACUUACUAUGUAGGACUCUUGACUGGCCUGGAAGUUAGUGAUUCAUUCACCUUAGAAGCUAGUGACCAAAUUCAUUUAGAAACCUUCAGGAGAAGAGAUUGUACAAGAAUAAUUGAAGGCCAUUGGUUUGGGAGAGAGAAAACCUUACCUGCUGCUACAUAUUAAACUCUAAUGGUUUAAC